rnacentral:rRNA from 1 species
AACAUAGCCUUUAGCCCAACCAGUAUUAAAGGUCCCGCCUGCCCAGUGAAAAUUUUAACGGCCGCGGUAUUCUAACCGUGCAAAGGUAGCGUAAUCACUUGUCUUCUAAAUAAAGACCAGUAUGAACGGCUAAAUGAGGACAGACCUGUCUCCUAUGACUAAUCAGUGAAACUGAUCUUCCAGUACAAAAGCUGGAAUACAGACAUAAGACGAGAAGACCCUGUGGAGCUUCAAACAUCCACUAACAAGCAAAUAAUCUGCCCUAGUGUGUAGUUUUGAGUUGGGGCGACUUCGGAGUAAAAUAAAACCUCCGAGCACAGAGCCACACACUCUCACCAAGACCAACAAGCCAAAGUUAAAACAGCCGACCCAGUAACACUGAUCAACGAACCAAGUUACCCCAGGGAUAACAGCGCUAUCUUCUUCAAGAGUCCCUAUCGACAAGAAGGUUUACGACCUCGAUGUUGGAUCAGGACACCCAAAUGGUGCAGCCGCUAUUAAUGGUUCGUUUGUUCAACGAUUAACAGUCCUACGUGAUCUGAGUUCAGACCGGAGAAAUCC